UACGAAGGGUGCAAACGUUGCUCGGAAUUAUUGGGCGUAAAGCGCACGUAGGCGGCUUAGCAAGUCGGAAGUGAAAUCCCACGGCUCAACCAUGGAAGUGCUUUCGAAACUGCUGAGCUUGAGUACGAAAGAGGAUCGCGGAAUUCCCGGUGUAGAGGUGAAAUUCGUAGAUAUUAGGAAGAACACCGGUGGCGAAGGCGGCCCACUGGCUCGAUACUGACGCUGAGGUGCGAAAGCGUGGGGAGCAAACAGG
rnacentral:rRNA from 1 species